rnacentral:rRNA from 1 species
AUUGAACGCUGGCGGCAGGCCUAACACAUGCAAGUCGAACGAGUGGCGGACGGGGCAGUAAUGUCGGGGAAUCUGCCUGAUGGAGGGGUAUAACUACUGGAAACGGUAGCUAAUACCGCAUACCAUCGGAUGUGCACAGAUGGGAUUAGCUAGUAGUGGGGGUAAAGGCUCACCUAGGCGAUGAUCCCUAGCUGGUCUGAGAGGAUGACCAUCCACGCUGGAACUGCGACCCGGUCCAAACUCCUUCUGGAGGCAGCAGUUGGGAAGAUUGCACAAUUGGAGCAAGUCUGAUGCAGCCAUGGCGCGUGUAUGAAGAAGUCCUUCGGGUUGUAAAGUACUUUCAGCGGGUAGGCGUUACCCGCAGAAGAAGCACCGGGUAAACCCGUGCGAGCAGCCGCGGUAAUAC